rnacentral:rRNA from 1 species
UUGGAGGGCAAGUCUGGUGCCAGCAGCCGCGGUAAUUCCAGCUCCAAUAGCGUAUAUUAAAGUUGUUGCAGUUAAAAAGCUCGUAGUUGAAUUUCGGGAUCAGUACGUUGGUCGUGCCUUAGGUACGUACUGGUGUUACUGGUUCCUACCUUCUGACGAACCACCAUGUCAUUCAUUUGGUGUGGCGGGGAAUCAGGACUGUUACUUUGAAAAAAUUAGAGUGUUUAAAGCAGGCUCGCGCUUGAAUACAUUAGCAUGGAAUAAUGAAAUAGGACGUUGAUCCUAUUUUGUUGGUCUCUAGGAUUGACGUAAUGAUUAAUAGGGAUAGUUGGGGGCAUUAGUAUUCAAUUGUCAGAGGUGAAAUUCUUGGAUUUAUUGAAGACUAACUACUGCGAAAGCAUUUGCCAAGGAUGUUUUCGUUAAUCAAGAACGAAAGUUAGGGGAUCGAAGACGAUCAGAUACCGUCGUAGUCUUAACCAUAAACUAUGCCGACUAGGGAUCGGAUGAUGUUAAUUUUUUAAUGACUCAUUCGGCGCCUUACGGGAAAC